AUUGAACGCUGGCGGCAUGCCUUACACAUGCAAGUCGAACGGCAGCACGGGAGCAAUCCUGGUGGCGAGUGGCGAACGGGUGAGUAAUAUAUCGGAACGUGCCCAGUAGUGGGGGAUCACUGCUCGAAAGAGCAGCUAAUACCGCAUACGACCUGAGGGUGAAAGGGGGGGAUCGCAAGACCGUCCGCUAUUGGAGCGGCCGAUAUCAGAUUAGCUAGUUGGUGGGGUAAAGGCCUACCAAGGCAACGAUCUGUAUUUGGUCUGAGAGGACGACCAGCCACACUGGGACUGAGACACGGCCCAGACUCCUACGGGAGGAAGCAGUGGGGAAUUUUGGACAAUGGGCGCAAGCCUGAUCCAGCAAUGCCGCGUGCAGGAAGAAGGCCUUCGGGUUGUAAACUGCUUUUGUCAGGGAAGAAAUCCUCUAGGUUAAUACCCUUGGGGGGAUGACGGUACCUGAAGAAUAAGCACCGGCUAACUACGUGCCAGCCGCCGCCGUAAUAC
rnacentral:rRNA from 1 species